rnacentral:rRNA from 1 species
UACAGAGGUCCCAAGCGUUGUCCGGAAUCAUUGGGCGUAAAGCGCGUGUAGGCGGCUCGAUAAGUCUGCUGUGAAAGUCCAGGGCUCAACCCUGGAAUGCCGGUGGAAACUGUCGGGCUAGAGUCCGGAAGAGGCGAGUGGAAUUCCUGGUGUAGCGGUGAAAUGCGCAGAUAUCAGGAGGAACACCAAUGGCGAAGGCAGCUCGCUGGGACGGUACUGACGCUGAGACGCGAAAGCGUGGGGAGCAAACAGG